rnacentral:misc_RNA from 1 species
AAAGUCGUAACAAGGUUUCCGUAGGUGAACCUGCGGAAGGAUCAUUAAUAAAUGCUUUAUUGCAUCCACCUUUUGUGCACUGUAAAUAUUUCACUUAAAUUUUGUCUGAUUAAUCUUUGUUCUGAAUGGAACAUAAAUUGUAAUCAAAAACAACUUUUAACAAUGGAUCUCUUGGCUCUC